rnacentral:rRNA from 1 species
CGCAGGGUGCAAGCGUUGUCCGGAAUUAUUGGGCGUAAAGAGCUCGUAGGCGGUUUGUCACGUCGGAUGUGAAAACUCGGGGCUCAACCCCGAGCCUGCAUACGAUACGGGCAGACUUGAGUGUGGCAGGGGAGUCUGGAAUUCCUGGUGUAGCGGUGAAAUGCGCAGAUAUCAGGAGGAACACCGGUGGCGAAGGCGGGACUCUGGGCCAAUACUGACGCUGAGGAGCGAAAGCGUGGGGAGCGAACAGGAUUAGAUACCCUGGUAGUCCACGCCGUAAACGGUGGGUGCUAGGUGUGGGGAACUUUCCACGUUCUCCGUGCCGCAGCUAACGCAUUAAGCACCCCGCCUGGGGAGUACGGCCGCAAGGCUA